GGCGUAUUGCUCGAAUAUAUUAGCAUGGAAUAAUAGAAUAGGACGUUUGGUUCUAUUUUGUUGGUUUCUAGGACCAUCGUAAUGAUUAAUAGGGACGGUCGGGGGCAUCAGUAUUCAAUUGUCAGAGGUGAAAUUCUUGGAUUUAUUGAAGACUAACUACUGCGAAAGCAUUUGCCAAGGACGUUUUCAUUAAUCAAGAACGAAAGUUAGGGGAUCGAAGAUGAUCAGAUACCGUCGUAGUCUUAACCAUAAACUAUGCCGACUAGGGAUCGGGUGGUGUUUUUCUUAUGACCCACUCGGCACCUUACGAGAAAUCAAAGUUUUUGGGUUCUGGGGGGAGUAUGGUCGCAAGGCUGAAACUUAAAGGAAUUGACGGAAGGGCACCACCAGGAGUGGAGCCUGCGGCUUAAUUUGACUCAACACGGGGAAACUCACCAGGUCCAGACACAAUAAGGAUUGACAGAUUGAGAGCUCUUUCUUGAUUUUGUGGGUGGUGGUGCAUGGCCGUUCUUAGUUGGUGGAGUGAUUUGUCUGCUUAAUUGCGAUAACGAACGAGACCUUAACCUACUAAAUAGUGGUGCUAGCAUUUGCUGGUUAUCCACUUCUUAGAGGGACUAUCGGUUUCAAGCCGAUGGAAGUUUGAGGCAAUAACAGGUCUGUGAUGCCCUUAGACGUUCUGGGCCGCACGCGCGCUACACUGACGGAGCCAGCGAGUCUAACCUUGGCCGAGAGGUCUUGGUAAUCUUGUGAAACUCCGUCGUGCUGGGGAUAGAGCAUUGUAAUUAUUGCUCUUCAACGAGGAAUUCCUAGUAAGCGCAAGUCAUCAGCUUGCGUUGAUUACGUCCCUGCCCUUUGUACACACCGCCCGUCGCUACUACCGAUUGAAUGGCUUAGUGAGGCCUCAGGAUCUGCUUAGAGAAGGGGGCAACUCCAUCUCAGAGCGGAGAAUUUGGACAAACUUAGUCAUUUAGAGGAACUAAAAGUCGUAACAAGGUUUCCGUAGGUGAACCUGCGGAAG
rnacentral:rRNA from 1 species